rnacentral:rRNA from 1 species
AUUGAACGCGGGCGGCAGGCCUAACACAUGCAAGUCGAACGAGGGGCGGACGGGGGAGUAAUGACUGGGAAACUGACCGAUGGAGGGGGAUAACUACUGGAAACGGUAGCUAAUAACGCAUACCAUCGGCUGGGCCCAGAUGGGAUUAGCUAGGAGGUGGGGUAACGGCUAACCUAGGCGACGAUCACUAGAGGGUCUGAGAGGAUGACCAGCAACACUGGAACUGAGACACGGUCCAGACGCCUACGGGAGGAAGCAGUGGGGAAUAUUGCACAAUGGGCGCAAGCCUGAGGCAGCCAUGCCGCGUGUAUGAAGAAGGCCUUCGGGUUGUAAAGUACUUUCAGCGAGGAGGCGUUACUCGCAGAAGAAGCACCGGCUAACUCCGUGCCAGCAGCCGCGGUAAUAC